GGCUGCGGCGGCGCGGCGCGGCGGCGGCGGCGACAGACAGCGCAGCUGCUCAGCUGAUAGUCCACUCCCCUUUCCCGCCCCGGUGACAAUCUCUGCGGAAUUGUGAUUUCAGGAGAGCACCCAGCAGGACCAUGGCGGUCUAGCAGGCUCGUCCGGGCCAAGUCAAAGAAACGGUUUCCUGUGAACCAUCCCCCACUACCCCUAGGCAGCCUGCACCCCCAGGGCCCGAAGAUGCUGAGAUCUACGUGGAAUUUUCUGAAACGUCACAAAAAGAAGUGCAUCUUUCUGGGCACGGUCCUCGGAGGAAUAUAUAUCUUGGGGAAAUAUGGGCAGAAGAAAAUCAGAGAAAUACAAGAAAGGGAGGCUGCAGAAUACAUUGCCCAAGCACGACGACAGUACCAUUUUGAAAGUAACCAGAGAACUUGCAAUAUGACAGUGCUGUCCAUGCUUCCCACACUGAGAGAGGCCUUAAUGCAGCAACUCAAUUCUGAGAGCCUUACAGCUCUGCUAAAAAGCAGGCCUUCAAACAAGCUAGAAAUAUGGGAAGAUCUGAAGAUAAUAAGUUUCACAAGAAGUAUCGUAGCUGUAUAUAGUACUUGUAUGCUGGUGGUUCUUUUGCGAGUCCAGUUAAACAUAAUAGGAGGAUAUAUUUACCUGGAUAAUGCAGCAGUUGGCAGAAAUGGCACCACAGUUCUUGCUCCCCCAGAUGUCCAGCAGCAGUAUUUAUCAAGUAUUCAGCACCUCCUUGGAGAUGGCCUGACAGAAUUGAUCACUGUCAUUAAACAAGCUGUGCAGAAGAUUUUAGGAAGUGUUUCUCUUAAACAUUCUUUGUCCCUUUUGGACUUGGAGCAAAAAUUAAAAGAAGUCAGAGAUCUCGUUGAGCAGCAUAAAUCUUCUUCUUGGAUUAAUAAUGAUGGAUCAAAGUCUUUGUUGUGCCAUUAUAUGAUGCCAGAUGAAGAAACUCCAUUAGCAGUUCAGGCCUGUGGGCUUUCUCCUAGAGAUGUUACCACUAUUAAACUACUCAAUGAAACUAGGGACAUGUUGGAAAGUCCAGAUUUUAGUACAGUUUUGAGUACCUGUUUAAACCGAGGAUUUAGUAGAUUGCUGGACAAUAUGGCGGAAUUCUUUCGACCUACUGAACAGGACUUGCAACAUGGUAACUCCAUGAAUAGUCUUUCCAGUGUCAGCCUGCCUUUAGCUAAAAUAAUCCCAAUAAUAAAUGGACAGAUCCAUUCAGUUUGCAGUGAAACACCUAGUCAUUUUGUUCAGGAUCUGUUGAUGAUGGAGCAAGUGAAAGACUUUGCUGCUAAUGUGUACGAAGCGUUUAGUACUCCUCAACAACUGGAGAAGUGAUUCUUUUUUCCUUCAAGAAAAACUACAGUGGAAUCCAUUUACUUAAAAAAAAAUUGAAUAAAUCAGCUAUAUAUGGGCAAUAUUAACCCAGGAUUUCAUCCAAGGAGAUUUUGAGACGGAACAGGUGUGACCUUGGAAGGAUAGAAAGCUGAUCAGCCGAAAAUUAUUACCUGGAAUCAUCUGCAUCUGUAGGGUUGUGACAGUUGAAGAGAUGACAAGCUUGGAGACGUUCCUAGACAUCAGGAAAUCAACAUGUUCACAAGGAAAUAUGCUUCAUAAAUAUCCAUCUCAGCCUGAAAAACAUCUAUAGCAGAAAAUCAUUAAGCCACCAGAAUGAGGCCAAAGGGAAAAAUGAGGCCAAAGGGAAAAGACAAUUUCUUAUUUGGAGUUUUGGUUCUCCCUCUUAAUCCCCUCCCCACUUCUGGAGAAAACAAUGAGGCAAAAUUUUUUAUACCAAGGCAAUAUGGUUAUGCAAAGGAAAUGGUGUAAUUGACAUGCUGUUUGAACAAUAACAAUUUGCUGAUGCUUCCUUGAUCUUGUAGAUACAGGAAUGGUAAUGGGUGGAAUCUAUCCUAUUAAUGUAAGAUCACUAUGAUGGUUAAUUUUAUGUGUCAACUUCACUGGGCCACUGGGUGCCCAGAUAUUUGGUUAAACAAUCUUCAGGGUGUGUUCCUGAAGGUGUUUCUAGAUGAAAUUAACAUUGGAAUAGGUAGACUGCAUAAAGCAGAUUGCUCUUCCCAAUGUGAGUGGACCUCAUCCAAUCCACUGAAGGGCUGAAUAGAAUAAAAGGCUGAUUAAGAGAGAAUUUUUUCUCUCUGCACAUCUUUGAGGUGAGACAUCAAUCUUCU